rnacentral:piRNA from 1 species
UGCCACUUAUAAACCGUCAGAUCUCAUGAGU